rnacentral:rRNA from 1 species
UUGGAGGGCAAGUCUGGUGCCAGCAGCCGCGGUAAUUCCAGCUCCAAUAGCGUAUAUUAAAGUUGUUGCAGUUAAAAAGCUCGUAGUUGAAUUUCGGGACUAAUAUGUCGGUCGUACUUUGUACGUACUAGCAUUAUUGGUUUCUCCCUUCUGACGAACCACGAUGUCAUUAAUUUGGUGUCAUGGGAAAUCAGGACUGUUACUUUGAAAAAAUUAGAGUGUUUAAAGCAAGCUCGCGCUUGAAUACAUUAGCAUGGAAUAAUGAAAUAGGACGUUUGAUUCUAUUUUGUUGGUUUCUAGGAUCGACGUAAUGAUUAAUAGGGAUAGUUGGGGGCAUUAGUAUUCAAUUGUCAGAGGUGAAAUUCUUGGAUUUAUUGAAGACUAACUACUGCGAAAGCAUUUGCCAAGGAUGUUUUCAUUAAUCAAGAACGAAAGUUAGGGGAUCGAAGACGAUCAGAUACCGUCGUAGUCUCAACCAUAAACUAUGCCGACUAGGGAUCGGAUGAUGUUAAUUUUUUAAUGACUCAUUCGGCGCCUUACGGGAAACCAAAGUGUUUGGGUUC